rnacentral:rRNA from 1 species
GAAUUCGCCCUUAGAGUUUGAUCCUGGCUCAGGACGAACGCUGGCGGCAUGCCUAACACAUGCAAGUCGAACGGAGCAGGACUGAAGGUAGCGAUAUCGGAUGGCUUGCUUAGUGGCGAACGGGUGAGUAACGCGUGAGCAACCUGCCUUGUACACCGGGAUAACAGAGGGAAACUUCUGCUAAUACGGGAUAACACCUUAGAAUGGCAUCAUUUUGAGGUCAAAGCGAUUAGCGGUACAAGAUGGGCUCGCGUCCCAUUAGCUAGUUGGUGAGAUAACAGCCCACCAAGGCGACGAUGGGUAGCCGACUUGAGAGAGUGAUCGGCCACACUGGAACUGAGACACGGUCCAGACUCCUACGGGAGGCAGCAGUGGGGAAUAUUGGGCAAUGGAGGAAACUCUUACCCAGCUAUGCCGCGUGAAUGAAGAAGGUCUUCGGAUUGUAAAGUUCUUUUAUUGGUGACGAAACAAAUGACGGUAGCCAAUGAAUAAGCCCCGGCUAACUACGUGCCAGCAGCCGCGGUAAUACGUAGGGGGCAAGCGUUGUCCGGAAUGACUGGGCGUAAAGGGUGUGUAGGCGGUUUGUCAAGUUGAAAGUGAAAUCCCCGGGCUUAACUCGGGAGCUGCUUUCAAAACUGACAGACUUGAGUGCAGUAGAGAAAAGCGGAAUUCCUAGUGUAGCGGUGGAAUGCGUAGAUAUUAGGAGGAACACCAGCGGCGAAGGCGGCUUUUUGGACUGUAACUGACGCUGAGGCACGAAAGUGUGGGGAGCAAACAGGAUUAGAUACCCUGGUAGUCCACACUGUAAACGAUGGAUACUAGGUGUAGGAGGUAUCGACUCCUCCUGCGCUGCAGCUAACGCAAUAAGUAUCCCGCCUGGGGAGUACGGCCGCAAGGUUGUAACUCAAAGGAAUUGACGGGGACCCGCACAAGCGGUGGAGCAUGUGGUUUAAUUCGAAGCAACGCGAAGAACCUUACCAAAUCUUGACAUCCCGAUGACAAGCUGUGUAAAGCAGCCUCUCUUCGGAGCAUCGGUGACAGGUGGUGUAUGGUUGUCGUCAGCUCGUGUCGUGAGAUGUUGGGUUAAGUCCCGCAACGAGCGCAACCCUUGUCAUUAGUUGCCAUCAGGUCAAGCUGGGGACUUUAAUGAGACUGCCACCGUAAGGUGUGAGGAAGGGGGGGAUGACGUCAAAUCAGCACGGCCCUUAUGUCCGGGGCGACACACGUGUUACAAUGGGAGGUACAGAGGGCAGCUAUCCGGUGACGGAAUGCUAAUCUCCAAAACCUUUCUCAGUUCGGAAUGGAGUCUGCAACUCGACUCCAUGAAGGUGGAUUCGCUAGUAAUCGCGCAUCAGC